rnacentral:lncRNA from 1 species
CGGAAAAUAGACAUCAGUUUUGAAAAAUGUCAGAAAAUAAAUCUAAGAUUAACAGUCUGAGAUCAGAAGGUGGAGAGGCCAGACACAUUGUAACAUAAUACUGUGCAGGAUACAAAAAUAUAUAUUUAUAUAAUUAGAUGGACAAACAGAAUAAACUGGGAGUGAAUGACAUGGAAAGGAGGACACUCUGUAUGACAGACUAGUAAAUAAAGGUCAAGAAGAGAAAUCAGCUCUAAUGUGUGGGGGAACCUAGAGCUCUGUGAUUAUGGGGGUGAAGCUGUAAUGUGUGGGGUAACCUAGAGCUCUGUGAUUAUGGGGGGUGAAGCUGUAAUGUGUGGAGGAACCUAGAGCUCUGUGAUUAUGGGGGGUGAACCUAGAGCUCUGUGAUUAUGGGGGUGAAGCUGUAAUGUGUGGGGGAACCUAGAGCUCUGAUUAUGGGGGGUGAACCUAGAGCUCUGUGAUUAUGGGGGUGAAGCUGUAAUGUGUGGGGGAACCUAGAGCUCUGUGAUUAUGGGGGGUGAAGCUGUAAUGUGUGGGGGAACCUAGAGCUCUGUGAUUAUGGGGGGUGAAGCUGUAAUGUGUGGGGGAACCUAGAGCUCUGUGAUUAUGGGGGUGAAGCUGUAAUGUGUGGGGGAACCUAGAGCUCUGUGAUUAUGGGGGGUGAAGCUGUAAUGUGUGGGGGAACCUAGAAAUCUGUUUUUUUGGGGUGAAGCUGUAAGGUGUGAGGGGAACCCAGAGCUCUGUCAUUAUGGGGGUGAAGCUGUAAGAUGUGGGGUAACCUAGAGCUCUGUUUAUGUGGGGGUGAAGCUGUAAGGUGUGGCAGAACCUAGAGCUCUGAUUAUGGGGGGGUGAAGCUUUAAGGUGUGGCAGAACCUAGAGAUCUGAUUUUUGGGGUGAAGCUGUAAGGUGUGGCAGAACCUAGAGAUCUAAUUUUUGGGGUGAAGCUGUAAGGUUUGGGGGAACCUUGAGAUCUGAUUUUUUUGGGGUGAAGCUGUAAGGUGUAGAUAAAUUCAGAGAUGUGAUUUUUUUGGGGGUGAAGCUGUAAGGUGUGGAGAAACCUAGAGAUCUGAUUUUUUGGGGGUGAAGCUGUAAGGUUUGGGGGAACCUUGAGCUCUGAUUAUGGGGGUGAAGCUGUAAGGUGUGGAGAAACCUAGAGAUCUGAUUUUUUGGGGGUGAAGCUGUAAGGUGUGGAGAAACCUAGAGAUCUGAUUUUUUGGGGGUGAAGCUGUAAGGUGUGGAGAAACCUAGAGAUCUGAUUUUUUGGGGGUGAAGCUGUAAGGUGUGGAGAAACCUAGAGAUCUGAUUUUUUUGGGGUGAAGCUGUAAGGUGUGGAGAAACCUAGAGAUCUGAUUUUUUGGGGGUGAAGCUGUAAGGUGUGGAGAAACCUAGAGAUCUGAUUUUUUUGGGGUGAAGCUGUAAGGUGUGGAGAAACCUAGAGAUCUGAUUUUUUGGGGGUGAAGCUGUAAGGUGUGGAGAAACCUAGAGAUCUGAUUUUUUUGGGGUGAAGCUGUAAGGUGUGGAGAAACCUAGAGAUCUGAUUUUUUUGGGGUGAAGCUGUAAGGUGUGGAGAAACCUAGAGAUCUGAUUUUUUUGGGGUGAAGCUGUAAGGUGUAGAUAAAUCUAGAGACGUGAUUUUUUGGGGUGAAGCUGUAAGGUGUGGGUGAACGUAGAGCUCUGUGAUUAUGGUGGUGAUGCUGUAAGAUAUGGGGGACCCUAGAAGCUCUGUGAUAAUGGGGAUAAGGGAGUAAGCAGAAAUGUAUGGAGUGCUGAAAUGGCAAAGGGAGGAGCUGUAAUAUAUGGAAGUAAUAUGGUUUCCUGUGAUAAAUGCAGAAAAGCUGUUACGGGAGGGGAAUAGUGGGAAAGCAAGGUGAGAGAAUGGUGCCGAGAAGCAGAUGCAAGGGUUGGAAAAGUACAUGUGAUGAGAGAUAUGAUGGGAUUAAAAACCCUCUGUUUGGGACAACAAAUAUCUCUGAACACAUUUUAAAACACACAACAAACCAAAACAGAGAAAAACACAAAAUGAGAUUCCCUGCGUGUGCCACCAUCACAGAGAAACAAAACACUCAGAGAGGAGACAUUACUGUCUGAGAACGGCUCCAUUACACGGGGGAGACGCACAGGGACCUUAAGGAUGGUUGCCAUUUACAUGAUCUCCUAGCAGGAGCAGAGGACAUUCUUCAAACAGUCAGAGACCGCCCUGAUCAGUCUGAGCGCGAGGUAGGGGAUGCCAACAGUUGGAGGAGGAAACGAUGAAGGACUAACUCUCAGAAACCUACAGAUCAGAAGACAUGUAUUCCUAUCACUUCCACCAGGGACUGGAAGAGAAGGCGUUCAUUGGGUCCUUGUAAACGUCACAAACUUUGGAACAAGGCAGAUUUCAUGUUUAUAUAGUGGUAUAUCACUGGCCACUGGCAAUAAUUAUGGCAACCUCAGACAGAUGUGGAGGGAGGCUAAGGUGGAAACAUCUGCUAAGAAGAACAGAUUGAGGUUUUAAGGCUUGCUGAGAAUAGCAGGAGUGCCAAAUAAAGACUAUUCCUUAUGGGCUACAAACAAACUAGAACAUAUUUAGCUUCCCACACAAAGAGCUGAUCAAACAAACCCAAAUAAAACCAAACUACACAAUACAGAUUUACUUUGUUUCAUGGAAACCAGCCUGUUGCAGUUAAGGCAGUGAUGCACUGCCUGGACACUCUGGUUACCCAUCUCCUGUAGAGCUUGAGACAGUGGUGGAAAUGGAGUUUUGCAUAUACUGACUGGAGAGUCGGGAAGGGGUACCAGCCCUGUGUAUGCCCAGCCCUCCCCAUCAUUAGUUCAGUAGGUUUCCCUGUUCCUGUGCCCGGGUCAGACUGUCCUUCCUGUGGAGGUGAUGCACACCCAUUCUUUUUGGACUCCGAUGUGGGCGUCCAGAAGGGGGUUUUUCUGCACAUAAUCCUCCGGUGGUAUAUAUGUCUCCCCAAUGUCGUCCUCUAUCACGGUCUCCUGAUCUGCCUCCUCCGAGAGGACCUGCUGCUCAGCGGCUUCUUCCUCUUCCUCCACUGCUCCAGACAGAAGGUCCUGUGCUUCCUCUUGGGAGAAUUCCUUCCCAUACUCAUUUGGUAGAGGCCCUCUCCGGGCCCCAACAACCUCAGCAUCUCGGCUGCUGCUCCAUCCAAGCCCUGAGCUUUCCCUGUCUGAGUAAGCUUGAGCGGCCCGGCUGAGUUCCUGCAUAGAUUGGCUGAAUCUUUGUUGCAGUUCCAGAGCUGUGUCCCUGCUGAAGGAAGUGCGAUGUGCCAGGGACCUCUCCGUGCUGGGUGCCGCCUUUUCCACAAACAUUUUUUGCCAGUUUGCCAACAUGUCCUCUUCAGAGCUCGCAGAGCUGGCAACUGCACUACUAAGAGGAGAUCGGGCAGGGAUAUCUGCACUCCGUGCCCGCUGUGGGUAGUUUGCUGCAGACGCUGGGCUAUUGGGAACUGUGCGAUGCCUGUCUGGACUGCCCUCCUCACCCUGCACAAGGCUAAGGGAGAUUGCUUGCCGGGUGGCAUAGGUACAGUUGGGUAGUGGGCUAUUUUUGGGGAUUCGCACCUUUUCAUCUGAGAACUCUAUCACCUUGCGGCCAGGGUACAUGGGAUGUGGUGGGGGUGGUGUGGGGUACGGGCUCAGUUUCUCAAAAGUAGGAGGGUCCUCAGAGGUGCUAUCUACACUACUCUGCUGUUGGAGACCCCCAUUUUGCUGCCUGCUCUCCUCCACCCUCUCACCUGGGCAACUCAUGUCCACAUGCACAAAAACAUCCUCUGCAGUGGGGCCGCUGCCACUGCUAGAUGUGGCAGAGUUUAGGAUGAGCGACUCUGGCUUUUCUAGUACACGGGCGAUGAUAGAACUGGGCACCACAUCAGAGUGUGAAAGACCAGGUGGAGGGGUCUCCUGUCCAGAUCGUGGAGAUGAUGCUGUGCUUUCAAAGUGUUUGCUCACCAUGUCCUGUAGUUUGUACGGCAACUGUAUAGGAAAGAACCAACAGAUCAACGCGAGGGAGUGGAAGCACUCACACACUAACAUAUGGGAGAAGCAAACACAUCAACGAUGUGGGGAAGCAGACAAGCACAUAAAGUGCUUUAAGGGUUUGGAGUAUUCCCUUACACAAAUACAGCAUGAUCGGAGAAAUUUAUGAACUAUUAAUACUCACAUCUGCAAACUUGUGGUUUCGGAAAUGGGACUUGUUGCAUUUAAGUAGCUGAACAGCUAGGUUACAGUCCUGCCGAUAGCGUUCCUGUAAUGAGAGUGACCAUUUAUGGAAUAAGUAGUAACUAAGAAAAGGCUUUUUGUUGCAUUCAUCCACAAGAGCACCGGGCUGCUCACCACAUUCUCCCCCCGACCAUCGUGCCACUCACCAUAUUCUAUCCCAUUAACAUCGGCAAGCUCGCCACAUUCUAUUCUAUUAACACAGAGCUGCUCACCACAGUCUAUUCCACGAGCAACGAGCCACUUGCCACAUUCUAUCCCAUGAAUACCGGCCCGCUUGCCACAUUCUAUCCCAUUAACACCGAGCUGCUCGCCACAUUCUAUCCCAUUAACACCGGGCCUCUCACCGCAUUCUUUCCCAUUAACACCGGGCCGCUCGCCACAUACUAUCCCAUUAACACCAGCCACCUCGCCACAUUCUAUCCCAUUAACACCGGGCCUCUCACCGCAUUCUUUCCCAUUAACACCGGGCCGCUCGCCACAUACUAUCCCAUUAACACCAGCCACCUCGCCACAUUCUAUCCCAUUAACACCGGGCCUCUCACCGCAUUCUUUCCCAUUAACACCGGGCCACUCACCAGAUUCUAUUCCACGAGCAACAAGCUGCUCAACACAUUCUAUCCCAUGAAUACCGGCCAGCUCGCUACACUAUCCCAUUAACACUGGUUUGCUCUUCGCAUUCUAUCCCAUUAACACCGGCCGCUCACCACAUUCUCCUGCCAACCACUGUGCCACUGACCAUAUUCUAUCCCAUUAACACCAGGUCGCUCGUCACAUUCUAUCCCAUUAACACCAGGCCACUCACCACAUUCUAUCCAUUAACAACGGGUCGCUCGUCACAUUCUAUCCCAUUAACACCGGGUCGCUCGUCACAUUCUAUCCCAUUAACACCGGGCCGCUCGCCACAUACUAUCCCAUUAACACCAGCCACCUCGCCACAUUCUAUCCCAUUAACACCGGGCCUCUCACCGCAUUCUUUCCCAUUAAC